GACUGCCUACGGGACGCAGCAGUGGGGAAUAUUGCGCAAUGGGCGAAAGCCUGACGCAGCGACGCCGCGUGAGGGAUGAAGGUCUUCGGAUCGUAAACCUCUGUCAGCAGGGAAGAACGGUCACUGUGCUAAUCAGCAGUUAAUUGAUGGUACCUGCAAAGGAAGCACCGGCUAACUCCGUGCCAGCAGCCGCGGUAAUACGGAGGGUGCGAGCGUUAAUCGGAAUUACUGGGCGUAAAGCGCUCGUAGGCGGUAUGUCAAGUCAAGGGUGAAAUCCCCGCGCUCAACGUGGUAACUGCCUUUGA
rnacentral:rRNA from 1 species